rnacentral:rRNA from 1 species
GUUGGAUUUCUGGUCGGAGCGACCGGUCGGCGUCCUUUGUGGCGNGUGCACUGUUGUCGGCUCCGUCCAUCCUAGUGGGAAGGCGCGUGGGCAUUCAUUUGUUCGCGCGUGGCCCCGCUACGUUUACUGUGAAAAAAUUAGAGUGUUUAAAGCAGGCGUUCGCUGUGAAUACAUUAGCAUGGAAUAAUGAGAUAGGACUUUGGUACUAUUUUGNUGGUUUGCGCACCAAGGCAAUGAUUAAUAGGGAUAGUUGGGGGUAUUCAUAUUCAAUUGUCAGAGGUGAAAUUCUUGGAUUUAUGGAAGAUGAGCUUAUGCNAAAGCAUUNACCAAGGAUGUUUUCAUUAAUCANGAACGAAAGUUAGGGGAUCGAAGAUGAUUAUGAUACCAUCGUNGUCUUAACCAUAAACUAUGCCGACUCGGGAUUGGACCUCGNUGCUUUAAUGACUGGUUCAGCACCGUNUGAGAAAUCAAAGUCUUUGGGNUC